rnacentral:rRNA from 1 species
UGAACGCUGGCGGCGUGCCUAAUACAUGCAAGUCGAGCGAACAGAUGAGGAGCUUGCUCCUCUGACGUUAGCGGCGGACGGGUGAGUAACACGUGGAUAACCUACCUAUAAGACUGGGAUAACUUCGGGAAACCGGAGCUAAUACCGGAUAAUAUAUUGAACCGCAUGGUUCACUAGUGAAAGACGGUUUUGCUGUCACUUAUAGAUGGAUCCGCGCCGCAUUAGCUAGUUGGUAAGGUAACGGCUUACCAAGGCAACGAUGCGUAGCCGACCUGAGAGGGUGAUCGGCCACACUGGAACUGAGACACGGUCCAGACUCCUACGGGAGGCAGCAGUAGGGAAUCUUCCGCAAUGGGCGAAAGCCUGACGGAGCAACGCCGCGUGAGUGAUGAAGGUCUUCAGAUCGUAAAACUCUGUUAUUAGGGAAGAACAAAUGUGUAAGUAACUAUGCACGUCUUGACGGUACCUAAUCAGAAAGCCACGGCUAACUACGUG